rnacentral:rRNA from 1 species
ACGAACGCUGGCGGCAUGCCUAACACAUGCAAGUCGAACGCCCCGCAAGGGGAGUGGCGCACGGGUGAGUAACGCGUGGGGAUCUGCCCAUCGGUGGGGAAUAACCUCGGGAAACUGAGGCUAAUACCGCAUACGCCCUGUAAAGGGGAAAGAUUUAUUGCCGAAGGAACGGCCCGCGUCCGAUUAGCUAGUUGGUGAGGUAAUGGCUCACCAAGGCGACGAUCGGUAGCUGGUCUGAGAGGAUGACCAGCCUCACUGGGACUGAGACACGGCCCAGACUCCUACGGGAGGCAGCAGUGGGGAAUAUUGGACAAUGGGCGCAAGCCUGAUCCAGCCAUGCCGCGUGGAUGAUGAAGGCCCUAGGGUUGUAAAGUCCUUUUAACGGGGAAGAUAAUGACGGUACCCGUAGAAUAAGCCCCGGCUAACUUCGU